rnacentral:rRNA from 1 species
GUGAGUAACACGUGGGAAACCUACCUCUUAGCAGGGGAUAACAUUUGGAAACAGAUGCUAAUACCGUAUAACAAUGACAACCGCAUGGUUGUUAUUUAAAAGAUGGUUCUGCUAUCACUAAGAGAUGGUCCCGCGGUGCAUUAGCUAGUUGGUAAGGUAAUGGCUUACCAAGGCGAUGAUGCAUAGCCGAGUUGAGAGACUGAUCGGCCACAAUGGGACUGAGACACGGCCCAUACUCCUACGGGAGGCAGCAGUAGGGAAUCUUCCACAAUGGGCGAAAGCCUGAUGGAGCAACGCCGCGUGUGUGAUGAAGGGUUUCGGCUCGUAAAACACUGUUGUAAGAGAAGAAUGACAUUGAGAGUAACUGUUCAAUGUGUGACGGUAUCUUACCAGAAAGGAACGGCUAAAUACGUGCCAGCAGCCGCGGUAAUACGUAUGUUCCAAGCGUUAUCCGGAUUUAUUGGGCGUAAAGCGAGCGCAGACGGUUAUUUAAGUCUGAAGUGAAAGCCCUCAGCUCAAC